rnacentral:lncRNA from 1 species
CUGAAUUCGUGCUCAAUGAGUCUCAUGGUUCCGUGAUGGUGCUGAAUCCAGACGGGAAAGCAGAAAGCUGUGCAUGGGAGGCAGCUUUGGCAUUUCACAUACCAUGGACAGAGAAUACAUGGAGGGAGUCACGAGGGCGAGGGGACUCUGACUCCUGCCAGCAGGCCCAGCACAUAAAAGUAAAAAAGAAAUUUCGACUCGAGCCCCGAGGUACCUUGCCAGCGGAGUCUCGCCCAACACCCGCAAGGGCCCACACAGGAUUCCCCACGGGAUCCUAAGACCUCUGGUGAGUGGAACACAGCCCCUGCCCCAAUCCAAUAGCGCGGAACCUGAGACUGCGGUAAAUAGGGAAGCAGACUACCCGGGCCUGACCUGGGGCACAA